rnacentral:rRNA from 1 species
GACGAACGCUGGCGGCGUGCCUAAUACAUGCAAGUUGAGCGCUGAAGGUUGGUACUUGUACCGACUGGAUGAGCAGCGAACGGGUGAGUAACGCGUGGGGAAUCUGCCUUUGAGCGGGGGACAACAUUUGGAAACGAAUGCUAAUACCGCAUAAAAACUUUAAACACAAGUUUUAAGUUUGAAAGAUGCAAUUGCAUCACUCAAAGAUGAUCCCGCGUUGUAUUAGCUAGUUGGUGAGGUAAAGGCUCACCAAGGCGAUGAUACAUAGCCGACCUGAGAGGGUGAUCGGCCACAUUGGGACUGAGACAAGGCCCAAACCCCUACGGGAGGCAGCAGUAGGGAAUCUUCGGAAAUGGACGAAAGUCUGACCGAGCAACGCCGCGUGAGUGAAGAAGGUUUUCGGAUCGUAAAACUCUGUUGGUAGAGAAGAACGUUGGUGAGAGUGGAAAGCUCAUCAAGUGACGGUAACUACCCAGAAAGGGACGGCUAACUACGUG